CCAUGCCCGCUCCCUACGGCCCCGCCGCCGGUUCCCCUGGUGUUAGCGCCUGCCCGCCCAGGCGGUAUCGGAGGGAGGCAGGAGCUGGAUUUUGUCCUCCGGAGCCCCGGCCCCGCGGGGGUGCGUCGGUGCGGGCUCAGAAGCGGGAGGCUGGUCAUUGCCCCAUCAGCCUUGGCCUGGGAAGGGAAAAGGGAAGAGGUGCAAAUUCUGAAAAAGUCAUUGCAAGACACACAGCACUGUGGCACUUCAGCAGUGAAGCUCUUCAGCAUCACCCAUUGUUCUUUGCAUGUUCAUGUGAUCUCCAGUAUCCUUUCAGUAUGUCUUUUGACAAACACUGCACAGGAGACAGCUAGCAUACUCAAAACAUACCUUUCAGUUUUGGCAGCUGUCAUUAGGGAGUGAGGAUCUCCAGGAAGUGAUUGGAUCCAUUUUAUAACAGAUUGUAGGGUCAAUUCCUAAUGAAGUUGACAUAAUCAAAUCAAACUGAACUGAGUGAUCCAGCAUGGUCUCAGCACGAAAUUUUAAAUUGUCUCGGUUCAAGAAGAAAAGCUGCCUAGUAAAGAAGUGGGAAAUAAAUUGGUCCUCAAAUCACGGCUGGUUUGGGCAAAAUCAUACUGCCUAAUUUAUGUGACCUUUUAGAAGACUGAAGUAAUCUCCCUUAGAGGUGCUCCUCUGUGCAACUCUCACGUCUC